CAGAUCUGGAAAGUCGGGAGGGGCCGCGCCGAAGGUGUAAGCGAAAACUUUUUUCGCGAGUCUCUCAGGUUUGUAACAGAGGGGUGCAG
rnacentral:ncRNA from 11 species